ACGAACGCUGGCGGCGUGCUUAACACAUGCAAGUCGAACGGAAAGGCCCUGCUUUUGUGGGGUGCUCGAGUGGCGAACGGGUGAGUAACACGUGAGUAACCUGCCCUUGACUUUGGGAUAACUUCAGGAAACUGGGGCUAAUACCGGAUUGGAGCUCCUGCUGCCUGGUGGGGGUUGGAAAGUUUCGGCGGUUGGGGAUGGACUCGCGGCUUAUCAGCUUGUUGGUGGGGUAGUGGCUUACCAAGGCUUUGACGGGUAGCCGGCCUGAGAGGGUGACCGGCCACAUUGGGACUGAGAUACGGCCCAGACUCCUACGGGAGGCAGCAGUGGGGAAUAUUGCACAAUGGGCGGAAGCCUGAUGCAGCAACGCCGCGUGCGGGAUGACGGCCUUCGGGUUGUAAACCGCUUUCGCCUGUGACGAAGCGUGAGUGACGGUAAUGGGUAAAGAAGCACCGGCUAACUACGUG
rnacentral:rRNA from 1 species